rnacentral:miRNA from 1 species
GUGUGUGUGUGUGUGUGUGUGUGUGUGUGUGUGUAUAUGUAUGUAAUAUAGAGAGAGAUAUACAUACACACACACACACACACACACACACACAGUCUG